rnacentral:rRNA from 1 species
UACGGGGGGAGCAAGCGUUGUUCGGAUUUACUGGGCGUAAAGGGCGCGUAGGCGGUCAGCACAAGUCAGUUGUGAAAUCUCCGGGCUUAACUCGGAAAGGUCAACUGAUACUGUGCGACUAGAGUGCAGAAGGGGCAACUGGAAUUCUCGGGUGUAGCGGUGAAAUGCGUAGAUAUCAGGAGGAACACCGAUGGCGAAGGCAGGUCACUGGGCCGCAACUGACGCUGAGGAGCGAAAGCGUGGGGAGCGAACA